AAAAGGAAAAAAUGACAGUCACCUGACAGUGUGGUGCCCAGCCAACCAGCUAUACCUCUUUUGAAGAUUUUAAGAACUUAGCCUCCUGAACAGUCUUCUUCGAAAGUGAAAAGUGCUAACAGCUGAUGAGUAUCAAGAAAUUAUUUUCUGCAAAGGGGCAGAGUUAAUUGUAUUUGGAACCCGUGACAGCACCUACUGGGGAAAGACUUCUAAGUGAGGAGAAACGGCUCUACAGAUUCAGGAUGACUUUAGAGGUGGAAAAAUUAACCUAGAAAAAACUCAGAGGUUACUUGAAAAAUUAGAUAUUCGGUGCAGUUAUAUUCAUGUGAAACAGAUUUUUAAGCCCUCAAGUUUACAAACCACAAAGAGGAGGUUAAAAAAGAAAAGUUGUGCUUCUCAGGAGAACCCAGUGAAAACCAAAGUUGCAGAACUGUUUCUCUGAAUCCAGGCAGUGCAUGUGGCCAUAAGUAGGACAAUGACAGGCUGAAACAAGGAAGAAUCACCAUAGAAGAAUUUAGAGCAAUUUAUCGAAUUAUCACUCACAGAGAAGAAAUUA
rnacentral:sRNA from 1 species